CCUACGGGAGGCAGCAGUGGGGAAUAUUGCACAAUGGGGGAAACCCUGAUGCAGCAACGCCGCGUGAGUGAAGAAGGUAUACGGAUUGUAAAGCUCUGUUAGCAGGGAAGAGGAGGGACGGUACCUUCAGAGGAAGCCACGGCUAACUACGUGCCAGCAGCCGCGGUAAUACGUAGGUGGCAAGCGUUAAUCGGAAUAACUGGGCGUAAAGGGUGCGUAGGCGGUUAAACAAGUUAUAGGUGAAAUAUAAAGGCUUACACUGGAGAACGCAGAUAAAACUGGUGAACUAGAGUGGAGGAGAGGUAAGUGGAAUGCCUAGUGUAGCGGUGAAAUGCGUAGAGAUUAGGAAGAACACCAGUGGCGAAGGCGACUUACUGGACUGUAACUGACGCUGAGGCAUGAGAGCAUGGGGAGCAAACAGGAUUAGAUACCCUUGUAGUC
rnacentral:rRNA from 1 species